UACGAAGGGGGCUAGCGUUGUUCGGAAUUACUGGGCGUAAAGCGCGCGCAGGCGGCUAUCCAAGUCAGUGGUGAAAGCCCGGAGCUCAACUCCGGAACUGCCAUUGAAACUGUUUAGCUUGAGGAUGAGAGAGGUGAGUGGAAUUCCCAGUGUAGAGGUGAAAUUCGUAGAUAUUGGGAAGAACACCGGUGGCGAAGGCGGCUCACUGGCUCAUUACUGACGCUCAGGCGCGAUAGCGUGGGGAGCGAACAGG
rnacentral:rRNA from 1 species